rnacentral:rRNA from 1 species
UACGAAGGGGGCUAGCGUUGUUCGGAAUUACUGGGCGUAAAGCGCACGUAGGCGGACCAGAAAGUUGGGGGUGAAAUCCCGGGGCUCAACCUCGGAACUGCCUUCAAAACUAUUGGUCUGGAGUUCGAGAGAGGUGAGUGGAAUUCCGAGUGUAGAGGUGAAAUUCGUAGAUAUUCGGAGGAACACCAGUGGCGAAGGCGGCUCACUGGCUCGAUACUGACGCUGAGGUGCGAAAGCGUGGGGAGCAAACAGG